rnacentral:rRNA from 1 species
UAGUGAAUCUUCGGCAAUGGACGAAAGUCUGACCGAGCAACGCCGCGUGAGUGAAGAAGGUUUUCGGAUCGUAAAACUCUGUUGUUAGAGAAGAACAAGGACGUUAGUAACUGAACGUCCCCUGACGGUAUCUAACCAGAAAGCCACGGCUAACUACGUGCCAGCAGCCGCGGUAAUACGUAGGUGGCAAGCGUUGUCCGGAUUUAUUGGGCGUAAAGCGAGCGCAGGCGGUUUCUUAAGUCUGAUGUGAAAGCCCCCGGCUCAACCGGGGAGGGUCAUUGGAAACUGGGAGACUUGAGUGCAGAAGAGGAGAGUGGAAUUCCAUGUGUAGCGGUGAAAUGCGUAGAUAUAUGGAGGAACACCAGGGGCGAAGGCGGCUCUCUGGUCUGUAACUGACGCUGAGGCUCGAAAGCGUGGGGAGCAAACAGG